rnacentral:tRNA from 1 species
GGGGUUGUGGCUCAGUGGUAGAGCCUUUGGUUUGCCUGCAGAAGGUCCCAAGUUCAAUCCUCGGGCAUCUCCA